AAGCUCGUAGUUGAAUUUCGGGGUCAGUAGGUUGGUCGUGCCACCGGUACGUACUGGUCUCACUGAUUCCUCCUUCCUGAUGAGCUGUAAUGCCAUUAAUUUGGUGUUGCAGGGAAUCUGGACUGUUACUUUGAAAAAACUUAGAGUGUUUGAAGCAGGCUAACGCUUGAAUACAUUGGCAUGGAAUAAUGAAAUAGGACGUUCGAUCCUAUUUUAGUUGGUUUCUAGGAUUGACGUAAUGAUUAAUAGGGAUAGUUGGG
rnacentral:rRNA from 1 species